rnacentral:rRNA from 1 species
UACGGGGGGAGCAAGCGUUGUUCGGAUUUACUGGGCGUAAAGGGCGCGUAGGCGGUAGCACAAGUCAGUUGUGAAAUCUCCGGGCUUAACUCGGAAAGGUCAACUGAUACUGUGCGACUAGAGUGCAGAAGGGGCAACUGGAAUUCUCGGUGUAGCGGUGAAAUGCGUAGAUAUCGAGAGGAACACCUGCGGCGAAGGCGAGUCCCUGGACAUCUCCUGACACUGAGGCACGAAAGCUAGGGGAGCAAACAGG